rnacentral:rRNA from 1 species
AACGAACGCUGGCGGCAGGCUUAACACAUGCAAGUCGAACGCCCCGCAAGGGGAGUGGCAGACGGGUGAGUAACGCGUGGGAAUCUACCCAUCUCUACGGAAUAACUCAGGGAAACUUGUGCUAAUACCGUAUACGCCCUUCGGGGGAAAGAUUUAUCGGAGAUGGAUGAGCCCGCGUUGGAUUAGCUAGUUGGUGGGGUAAAGGCCUACCAAGGCGACGAUCCAUAGCUGGUCUGAGAGGAUGAUCAGCCACAUUGGGACUGAGACACGGCCCAAACUCCUACGGGAGGCAGCAGUGGGGAAUAUUGGACAAUGGGCGCAAGCCUGAUCCAGCCAUGCCGCGUGAGUGAUGAAGGCCCUAGGGUUGUAAAGCUCUUUCACCGAUGAAGAUAAUGACUGUAGUCGGAGAAGAAGCCCCGGCUAACUUCGUGCCAGCAGCCGCAGUAAUAC